UACGUAGGGUGCGAGCGUUAAUCGGAUUUACUGGGCGUAAAGCGUGCGCAGGCGGCCCGUUAAGACAGGUGUGAAAUCCCUGGGCUCAACCUAGGAAUUGCGCUUGUGACUUGCGGGCUCGAGUACGGUAGAGGGGGGUGGAAUUCCUGGUGUAGCAGUGAAAUGCGUAGAGAUCAGGAGGAACACCGAUGGCGAAGGCAGCCCCCUGGGCCUGUACUGACGCUCAUGCACGAAAGCGUGGGGAGCAAACAGG
rnacentral:rRNA from 1 species